CGGACGGGUGAGUAAUGUCUGGGAAACUGCCUGAUGGAGGGGGAUAACUACUGGAAACGGUAGCUAAUACCGCAUAACGUCGCAAGACCAAAGAGGGGGACCUUCGGGCCUCUUGCCAUCGGAUGUGCCCAGAUGGGAUUAGCUAGUAGGUGGGGUAACGGCUCACCUAGGCGACGAUCCCUAGCUGGUCUGAGAGGAUGACCAGCCACACUGGAACUGAGACACGGUCCAGACUCCUACGGGAGGCAGCAGUGGGGAAUAUUGCACAAUGGGCGCAAGCCUGAUGCAGCCAUGCCGCGUGUAUGAAGAAGGCCUUCGGGUUGUAAAGUACUUUCAGCGGGGAGGAAGGCGAUGAGGUUAAUAACCUUGUCGAUUGACGUUACCCGCAGAAGAAGCACCGGCUAACUCCGUGCCAGCAGCCGCGGUAAUACGGAGGGUGCAAGCGUUAAUCGGAAUUACUGGGCGUAAAGCGCACGCAGGCGGUCUGUCAAGUCGGAUGUGAAAUCCCCGGGCUCAACCUGGGAACUGCAUUCGAA
rnacentral:rRNA from 1 species